GCCGUCGUGGCGCAAUGGCAGCGCAUCACCUUCCUACAAUAAACAGCGGUGGCAGGUGGGGGUUGCGGGUUCGACCCCCGUCGACGGUA